UUAAAUGGUUAAACUUCAUUUAGCAUUUUGUGUGUUGUACUGGUGUAUGGAGUGGGAAUAAUGGGCUCUCCCAAAGCACCUUUUCAUGAAAAGAACUACAGCUAUUGGAUUGAUUGAACUGUUCGUAUCAAUACAGUUUCCCUCUUACUGCAGCUCAGAGAAAGAAAGCUGGUGAGAAGGAAGGACAGAGGUCACCCAAGACUAAAAGAGAAGUAGAGUUGACAUGAAACCCAAUAAGUUCCAGGGAGAGCUUGCUUGUCACUCAUUGACAGUGAUGGUUGUGGGAGGAAGGAACUGGCUGUCAGAUGUGCCUCAUGCAAAGCAGCGCGGCUGCAGGCUGGGAGCUUUGCAUGCUCUCCCGCUGCUGCUGGAUGUGGAAGCAGGCGGCCGUGAGGACUCGCGUCUCUCUCGGGGUAAUUACUCCACAGGAAAUUAGACAGAAAAUGUUUGAAUAAUCAUGUAUCUGAAGUGAGUUAGUGGCAGUAGGGAAGUCAGCUGCAACAAGUGAAUCCAAUUACUGUUUGUGGGAAGCAGCUGUGCUGGUGAGUGGAGCUGGGAUGUAAAUACUGAGGUCUGGAGCUGAACACAGGCCGCGGUUUUCAGAACCGUUUGUUGUGUUGUGUUUGGCAGAGGCGACACAUCCUGAGGUCAGCCAGCUUUGGCCAUCUUUUUUUUUUUUUUCCUUCUUGGUUAACUCAAGCUCCACUAGUGCUCUGAUGGCGUAACACGGCGAUAAUGCGGAUUUACACAAAGAACGAGGUGGAAGAAACUGUGGCUUCAAAGCAAACAAUGCAUUUCAGCGAGUGAUCAGAUAAACAAGUGCUCGUAAGCUCUCGGGGGGAAAAUGGACUUUUGGCAAAUAAAAAGAGGAUUCUACACAUGGUCCCUGUCAUGUUACAUGAAGUCGCGUCACAGCCAGACGCUCCUGCAUCAUGUCACUUUCAGAUGUUUGAGAGGAGGAAUGUGUGUACCUCUGCUCUGUUUAUCAACUGUUCCAAUGCUAAAGGACUCUGUCAGUUCAAGCGGUGAUGUGGAUCUGAGAUCCCCACCGCCAACACAACUAGACUUUGGAGUUCAACAAGUGUGCUUUUCUUAGAAGCCACCUUUACAGGUGAUGUUUUCCUCGAAAUAUUUUGAAACAAGUCAUAUUUGGUAGUCUGUUUUAUGACUAAUGAUUCCUUUUCUCGAAAGGCAAAAUCUUGACUUUAUUCUACCUCGACAGGCUUUAGACUACAGACCAUGGAUGUUCCACCACUGUUCAUGGUUUCUUUUGUGUUUUUUCAGAUAUAUUUACCCCACAUACUACUAAAUAAAUCUGUUCUAUUGAUAAAAAGCUGCAACAAAGGGAGUCAUUCGGAAACCUCAAACGGGUUUAAGUCCCUUGAAGUCAUCUUUUGAUCUGCUGUAAAAGUGUCCCUAUAGUUGCCUUUUAAUUAUGGUUAUAAUUAGUCCUGGGAAUCAAAGUACCUCACGAUACAUGGCUUGCGAUAUUGAGGAUAUCGCGAUAAUCGGUAAAAAUCAUCUCUAACAAUUCACAAUAUAUAGAAGAACGCAUAUUUUCUAGGAAAAUAUAUAUCCCCAUGUACUUUUUAGCUUGAACACAAUGAUAAUGAACAACAUGUGUCUUUAAUUUGUCCAACAAAUAAUGACACUUUAGUGCAACAUUGCUGGAAUCAGUAAUACUAUGUCUGUGACA